rnacentral:lncRNA from 1 species
AUGGUGUUAUCCUGGAUCAGCGCCGCUUCCCAGUCUCUCUUUUCACCCCGCAGGAGCUUGCGGACRAACCCUCCCUGGGGCCAUUUGCACACGAGCCAAGAGACCAUGCAGGCAGAAGUGUGCAGAGCGCCCCAAAACAUCUGGUCUGGGGUGGGGGGAGCUCUCCCUUCCCUGGGCAGGCRUGCCCCAUUCCUCAAGGAUAGGCAUGGACGUAGGAAAGGAAGGUCAAGAGCUAACUUCAGAGACGCCGCAAGAGYUCAGGGAGGAAAACACCACUGUGGACCACGCUAUUUCAGAGCAGGCUUUAAGAGAAGGCCUGUGUUAACCCUGCCUGCAGAGCGGAGCUACGAAAACCCAACGGGGAAGGGGGCUUGGGGCGGUGCCGGGCGGGAGCAGCCGGGCUCCAGGGCCGGGGCAUGGCCGCAGGACAGGCGCGGUGUCGGAGCACGCUCUCCUCCCCGCCGACCUCUCCGGGCCCGUUUUGUCUCUGGGUCUCCGACCCCCCGGGGAACGGGUCAGCUCCCCACCGCUUUACUAAAAGGCACCAGCACCACCAGGAGCUGCUCAGGAUGCCACCGAGCCAGCCCAGGCCGCACGCACAGAGGAGCCAGGCGAAACUGYGCCCUGCUCAGGCUGCGACCUCCCUCCCUCGCUCCGGCGGGCGGCAGCAGCAGCGGUGCAUCUUUGCUCCACGUGUCAGCCCUCUCGGGCCGCUGCGCCCGUCUUCGCCGACCCCCUGAAACGGGCCGCGGAGCGUCGCCCGCCCCGGGCUGCGCUCCCGACCCCUGCAUCCACCACGCUGCAGGCGCCCCCUCGCUCCCCUGCGACGGGAAGCCUCCGAUCUACCCCAAAAGGCCUUUCACUGUAUCAGAAAAGGCUGCGCGCGCUUGGAAAGCCUCCAGAGCAUUAUUAAAAGGCAAAUUACAGACAAUUAUCCUCAGAAGCGCAUCAGCCAAGCCGAGCCAGUCACAACAAGCUGGUCCCCCCCCAGCCCAGGCUCCUUCCAGCUCCCGCGGGAACGUUCAGCCCCGGCUGCUCCACCAACCUCCUCCCGUUGUGUCCUCCACCAGCGGGCUCCCCAUCUCCUUGGCUUCGGGGGGGCAUGCGCCCCUCGAGCGCCCCCCAGCCACCAGGGUCCACUUGCGACCCGAGGCCACCACGCAGCCUCCGAGCCUGGCACGGCRCCCAGCACAGUUGUCACCAGGAAGGUUAUGGCUCUGCUGA